rnacentral:rRNA from 1 species
GGGGAAUUUUGGACAAUGGGGGCAACCCUGAUCCAGCAAUGCCGCGUGUGUGAAGAAGGCCUUCGGGUUGUAAAGCACUUUUGUCCGGAAAGAAAACUUCCGCCCGAAUACGGUGGAGGGAUGACGGUACCGGAAGAAUAAGCACCGGCUAACUACGUGCCAGCAGCCGCGGUAAUACGUAGGGUGCGAGCGUUAAUCGGAAUUACUGGGCGUAAAGCGUGGGCAGGCGGUGAUGUAAGACCGAUGUGAAAUCCCCGGGCUUAACCUGGGAACUGCAUUGGUGACUGCAUUGCUGGAGUAUGGCAGAGGGGGGUGGAAUUCCACGUGUAGCAGUGAAAUGCGUAGAGAUGUGGAGGAACACCGAUGGCGAAGGCAGCCCCCUGGGCCAAUACUGACGCUCAUGCACGAAAGCUUGGGGAGCAAACA